CAUGAUUGUAUUAAAUUAUAAGAUGAUUGGUGUUAUUUAAAUGAUUUGAGCCUCAAUAUCAACAUAUGCAAAAUAUUAUCUUUUAAUAUUAAAAAAUCGCAUGUUUAUUUUGAUUAUAAAUUUAACAAUGUUUCUAUUGAACUAGUUGAAUCAUGUAUCGACUAAGGAACUACGUUUGAUUCUAAACUAUGUUUUAAUGAACACAUUGAUAAAAUAACCAAUAAAGCGUUUCAAAAUCUUGGUUUCAUUACAUGAACUUCUACAAAUUUGAAUAAUUUAAAUACCUUUAAAAUAUAUAUUUUGUAUUUGUGAAAUCCAAAUUAGAAUAUGAAUCCCUUAUUUGGUCUUCAAAUAACAUAAAAGUAACUCAAAAUCUCGAAGCUAUUUAGAAUCGUUUUCUUGGUUUUUGAGCAUUCAAAUUUAAAAUUGAACGUCCACGACAUUCAGAUUAUAAGAGAGUAUUAUCUUCUUUCAAUAUACAAUCUUUAAAUACAAGGAGAAGUAACCUUCAUUAUUCAUUUUUGUUGAAACUAUUAAAUAACUCAAUAGAUUGCCCUUUUUUACUGGAACGAUUAAAUUUUCGAAUUAAUACCAAGUCCACUAGAAAUCAAGAAAGUUUUUUAAUUAAUAAUGUUUCUAAAUCAUAUUUAAAAUCUUCACUUACGAAUAUACUAAUGACCAUAGGAAACACUGUAAACAGCUGUAAAAUUAUAUACCACAUAAUAUGUACUUUGUUAUAUUAAUUUGAAUGUGAAUUUUAAUACUAUUCGUACCUAAUUUAAUUGUAUAUAUACUUCUCGAAAAAAAAAUUGAAAAAAUAGAUUUGUUCGACAUGACUUUUUACUCAUACAAUUUUAAACAAAAUUUAAUAUUAAUUAAAAUACCUUAAAAUAAACAAAAAAAAAUACUACACUAAGAUCAAUUUUUUUUUUUACCGGCAAUUAAACUUUUAAUAAAUCUCUUGUUAAAUUUUCAAGCAUUUCUAUUUAGUCUAAAAAUUUUACCACAGAGUAUACCUAUUAAAUAAAAAUUACGUUCAAAACUCGCAAAAUUAAAAUAACUAAAACUUGUUCACAAUUUUACCACGUCUAUAAAAGGCAAGUAUAAGUUUUGCGUUAAAAAUUUAAGUCCAUACGAAUAUUUUUAACUGAAUUACAACAAAUAACAAAAUUGAAAAUAAUAAAAAGCAUUAUUUUCGUAAAUUUACCGAUUUUCUUACGCUUUAUCACGGGUUUUCCCAGAUAUUA